rnacentral:rRNA from 1 species
UUAAAAAAAUUAAGGG